GAUGAACGCUGGCGGCGUGCUUAACACAUGCAAGUCGAACGGAAAGGCCCUGCUUUUGUGGGGUGCUCGAGUGGCGAACGGGUGUGUAACACGUGAGUAACCUCCCCUUGACUUUGGGAUAACUUCAGGAAACUGGGGCUAAUACCCGAUAGGAGCUCCUGCUCCAUGGUGGGGGUUGGAAAGUUUCGGCGGUUGGGGAUGGACUCGCGGCUUAUCAGCUUGUUGGUGGGGUAGUGGCUUACCAAGGCUUUGACGGGUAGCCGGCCUGAGAGGUUGACCGGCGACAUUGGUACUGAGAGACGGCCCAGACUCCUACGGGAGGCAGCAGUGGGAAAUAUUGCACAAUGGGCGGAAGCCUGAUGCAGCAACGCCGCGUGCGGGAUGACGGCCUUCGUGUUGUAAACCGCUUUCGCCUGUGACGAAGCGUGAGUGACGGUAAUGGGUAAAGAAGCACCGGCUAAAUACGUGC
rnacentral:rRNA from 1 species